AGAGCCUCCGUCAAGGCGAAUGCAUGGACGGGACGGAAACAAACAUCCAUGGACGGAUUCCGUUCCGCUGGUUCUGGGCUGAGUUCCCGAGGUGAAAGAUUUCCCCCACCGUGCCCGUGCGAGUGCGACAGCAUCCUGAAGUGAUGCAUUGAUGAAUUCUAUAAACAGUUCCGCCGCGGAAUCAAACGGUGCCAUUAUUAGUUUAAAGGUGCGCUUACCGCAUUACAAAAUCUCAUCGUGACUGACUAAGCAGCCGCCCGGGAUCACUUCUACAUCUUCUAGCUGGUGCUUUCCGGCAUCUGGACCAGUUUUCUCAGCAGAUCGCAACGGGUUUGACAAACCGCGGAAGAAUCCUGCAAUGCCUUUUAUCAAAUUGAUGCUGGAGGGCGUCAACUAAUGGAAAAAAAAUCGACCGGAUGAUGAUCCGGCGCACCGCCUCAGUAGCCCUCGUUGCUCACGUCCUCGAUCAGCUGAGGGGAAGGCCGACUCCAGGACAAGAACGAGAAGUUGUUAGCAGUAGAAGAGAAAAACGAACGGAAAAGCACGUGAAUGUAAUUCAGGAACUGCGAACGGAACUUCAACUGCAGUUCCGAAGCAACGAUCAACCGAGCCGAUUGGUCUUCGGGCUCAGACAAGAAAUCAGAGUUAAAAUUAACUUACUACAAGAACUUAAACACUACAAAACUUAAUAAAAACAAUAAAUUAUUUAAACAAAAAUCAUUUUAAAACAUCCACCGAUCCAAAGAUUGGUGCCUAAAGACGAAUUUCGUCAAAAACAUCUAAAAUAAUCGGGUUAAAACCGCACAUUCAAAUCGGCUGGUCGUCAGCCGAACUGACAGAACACGUUACGACAAGACUUGGCAGUAUAGUCUUUCAGUAGACUGGCCAA